GAAGCUACAGCAUUUUCAUUUACUCUGCUGCAAUCACUCAUGAAGAAAGCAUGCUUUACGUGGGAUAAUUAAGGACAUAAAAAAGAAGACUCCUGCUCUGACAAGAAAGGAAUCUAUGUACUGUUAUCUGGGUCAAUAUUAGAAGCCCGAAGAUCCGUUUGAGUGAAUCGGAAAAGAGAGACACAUAUUGCGCAAACUACAGAAACGGAAAACGUCCAAAACUGCGAAAUUUGAAAUGUCAAUUUGUCAUGGUUGGCCCAUCUGUGGUAUAGCUCCGUAAGAAAUGUCCAUGUGAUGCCAGUCAAUGGAUAAUUCCAAGAAACGUAUGUACUACGUACUUCAAAGUACCACCUACUUUCUUUAAACAAAAGAAACACAAAAAAGUGACAGAUUUGAAUCAGAAUUCUGCUUUGGAAAUAGGCUGCCAUCUUGGGCCUGCUGAUUGUUCCAGUCAGUACCGUUAUUUCUUUUAUCCUGGAAUCUCCAAGGUUUCCAGAAAUUAUGGUUCGUCUCCGACAUUUAACGCCUGGAUAUUUUCGUGUCCUUCAGAUGCAGGCAGCUGGAAAGUUGGAGUAUAAGCCAAAGGACCGCCUGGGAAAUAAACUUGCACUAGUUUUAGCUCUAAUGGGAAUAAGUCUGUCAUAUUACAGUGCCCGAAAGAUGGCUGACAAAGGCAGUACAACCCCAAGUCAAUAAAAUGGGCAGAAAGAAAAGAAGUACAAUACUUUAGGUAUUUACACAUAUAUCCGGCUAUGUGUGGAAAGACAAAGGGUGGUUCUGGCAUAAAGAGGUGUUUUUGAGACGUUACAGUAUCUUCUGUUCCAUAUUCAACUGCUGUAUCUACAAGUUGGACAAUCCAUUGUUUCAGUGACUUAUUGGACAACACCACAAUGUCAUUGUGUGAUCUUCCUUCAUAAAAUGAUAAUCCAGAUGGUGCUGGUAUUGUUAAUAAGUAAAAAGUACAAAAGAAGUGGCAAAUGUAAUAAUUUUAAUUUACUGUACUGAAAAAACAUAGCAUAUACAUGUAAAUAUUGAUAUGGAAGCCUAGAUAUGUGGCUACAGUACUGAUGGCAGAUAUGUUUACCAGUCUGAUCUUUCAAGUUAUUUCACAGUUAUUACAAGCCACAAUAAUCUGCCUUAUAAUGAUAGCAUUUUUUCCUCUUAUAUAAUGUCUUCCAUAAUAGUAUUUCCUCUUAACCUAUUGUCCCCACCCAAGGAAACCAGUGACUUGUCCAGUCUCUCUUUCAGUUUGUAGUACUUUAAAUCAUUGGAAAUCACUCCUUCUUUAAAUAUGUGUGUAUGGAUCACCAUUAUGUAGCCACUCCCUACCAGUUUUAUUGUAUUUCUUUCUAUUUGUUUGACUUUACCAACUAGAAUUAUUUAUUAUCCACAACAUUGCCAAUGCUAGUACUGACAUGCCAUAUACUUAUAUCUUCUUGUAGGUGUUUUAUAUGUUCACAUUUUCAUGUUAGUAAUAAAAAGAGUUCAAGACAUUACAUGCAAAAUUUUCUGUGAUGACUUACAUAUAUUUUAAAAUGUUAAACAAACCAAGCUGCUUAGAAACUAUGUCUCUGAUUUAUCAGGUUUUUCCUAAACAGAUGAAAUAUUCCUGCUCAAACUGAGUGUGCAAUAAACUUUGUG